GCCGUCGUGGCGAACGCCUUCAUCGCCUCGGCGCUGUCGGCGGCGCGCAGCGACAGCCCGUGGUUCGGCUUCCUCCCGUCGGCCC
rnacentral:tRNA from 1 species